UGGGGAAUAUUGGACAAUGGGCGAAAGCCUGAUCCAGCCAUGCCGCGUGUGUGAAGAAGGUCUUUUGGUUGUAAAGCACUUUAAGUGGGGAGGAAAAGCUUAUAGUUAAUACCCAUAAGCCCUGACGUUACCCACAGAAUAAGCACCGGCUAACUCUGUGCCAGCAGCCGCGGUAAUACAGAGGGUGCAAGCGUUAAUCGGAAUUACUGGGCGUAAAGCGCGCGUAGGUGGUUAUUUAAGUCAGAUGUGAAAGCCCCGGGCUUAACCUGGGAACUGCAUCUGAUACUGGAUAACUAGAGUAGGUGAGAGGGGAGUAGAAUUCCAGGUGUAGCGGUGAAAUGCGUAGAGAUCUGGAGGAAUACCGAUGGCGAAGGCAGCUCCCUGGCAUCAUACUGACACUGAGGUGCGAAAGCGUGGGUAGCAAACAGGAUUAGAUACCCUGGUAGUCCACGCCGUAAACGAUGUCUACCAGUCGUUGGGUCUUUUAAAGACUUAGUGACGCAGUUAACGCAAUAAGUAGACCGCCUGGGGAGUACGGCCGCAAGGUUA
rnacentral:rRNA from 1 species